AGCCCUGAGGGCCUACCGCGAACCACGUUCGACGUGUUGCCUCCCUGUCACACUUACGUACGAAUUUACAAGUGCGACAGAGAGGCAACAUGUAGAACGUGGUUCGCGGUAGGCCCUCUUGCCCUACAGAAAAGUGCCAUCGACAAAAUACGUAACUUCUUGUAUAGAAUUACAUUAGUACAAAUUGAUUAACUGUCGCGAACAUUUUCUAAAUAAUGCGAUUAAAAUAAAACGGGACCUUAGAUUACGAUUCGUAUUUCUGUAAAAGUAAAAAUUAUAAUACCUGUACAUACAUAUGUUAAAUAAGUAAGUAUUUUAAACGUAUCUGUUUAACCAGUACUCUUGAAUCUGAUGCAGCUUUUAGAUUUUAAUUGAGGGUAAGGCAGGGCUAAAUAUCGGUAGGUAAGGGUGAAAUGGCCACUAUAUCUUAUCUACUCCGUUUAUGUAGUCCAUUUGGCUUCGAAGUGACUGUAGUAUGAACGAGUUACAUUACGUUUCAUAUUUCUAGGCAAGGCCCUCGGUCAUUUCUACCUAACUCUAAAAGUGUGGAGCUGCUUUUUGUACCGACAAAGUAGGUAAAUAUAGGGAAAUCACCCAGCGCCACUGAAUUACGUGUUAAUCGAAACAUUUCCAAAAUCUUCAGUAUCGCUAAAAUAUGGAUGGAGGCCAAUUCGAAGUUACAUAGCGAUAUAAAAAUGAUGUAAUAUUGGUAUUAUUGGCCUCAUGAUCAGUCUUAUAUCAUUAAGUGGAACCCUAUCAUUAUGACGAUAACUUAACACUUCAGUCACAGUCGUAGUGUCUCUAUUUGAUAUUGAUAGAGCUUCCUUUAAGUUGCAAAAUCUGUGGUAAUUGAAUUCAGUCUGUUAAAUUCUGGUUGUAUUCAUCUUUUUGAAACAGCCCUCAAUAUAAAGUUAACGUGCGUGGCGCGUCAUUUGUCGGUGUCCACUAAGGGUCUUCGGCAGCCAAAGGAAAUCAUUUGAUUUUGAUCAUCAUACGAUCGCCGACGUCCAGAUUUUGCAAUUGCGCUGUUUGUCUUAAAGGUCUGUUUACUUACCAAGUUUUCAACUUUAACUUAGGUUAAGUAAUGUAGGUAGUGUAUUGUUACUGUGGUACUUAGUCAAACUAAGAAACGACGAGGAUGUGAUAGCGAUUACCUUAUACGAUAUUGUAGCGACAUCGAUAUUAAUUACAUUCCAUAAUUAAGUUACCUUUUAAAUACGUAAUCAUCAAAUGUACAGGAUCUACUAAUGAAUAAACUGCACCCACUAAAUAAAUAAGUACUUAAAUGGACCGUUCGUAGGCCUAUUUCGAAUAUAUCAGAACUUUUGAGAUCAAUGAGAAACUUUGAGGUCGAAUAUUUUACAUAGCAUUUGAAAUAGUCCCUCGUGACGACAUGUGUACAAAAGCCUAAUUUGUAACGGUUUAGAGAUAUUCAAUGGAAUGAAGAUUGCUGUCUUUAUCAUUAACUCGUCUCGACUAUAGAGCUUUUACAUUACAAGUGCUAAGUUUAGUUAGCAUGCAAUGCAAAAAAGAUGUUGUUCUUUCGUAGCGAAAAUAAUUCACGAAUUCGAUAAUCGACAAGUUGACGAGAAUUAAGAGAUAAAUCCCGCUGUUACAUAGCAGAAGGGACAAAUAUGAUGUAGAGAAAGAAAAAGACAUCUACACAUUUUUCAAAAGUUUACUCUCUUUUUACGCGUAGGGACAGUACUGUCUGGACGAUUAUUUAUUCAUUACCCCUUUUUAAUAGGUACGCAUCUACUGUAGGUAAAGAUAAAAAUUAAUUUCUACAAUUUAUCACAAUUACUAUUAAGUUGUUCUCAACGAAAGUUGGAAAUUAUUACUAUGUAAUACUAAAACAUAGGAUUUAAGGUAAACGUGAAUUUGAAAUUUGCUCAAUUUUGGCUUAGUAUAUGUCAAUAAAUUACUUUUAAUUCGGGUGUUAAUGGGCUUCCGUGUAUAUAACGAUGUAUAUAAGUAUGUAUAACGCGGAAAUGUGGCUGUUAUAUUAUUGGCAUAAAAAUGUAUUAUAUGGUGUAUAGCAAAUUACGAAAAAUAUUCAAAACCUUGUGACAUUCUUAAGCGGGAGGGAACAUAGAGCUGUGUUUGUUGCGAAGUCUCGCAUUUGUAUUAAUGCAGCAUAAAUAGUAUAAGCACCUGGGGACCUAGUCAAGGUGACAAAGAAUAGAAAAAAUCAAUGUUAAUUGUAUAUUUCCAUACAUUACGAGUUAAAUACUCGUAAUGUAUGGAAAUUGUUAGAUUAUUGUUUUCUAUCAACGAUUACAACAUCUUGUCUAGACCUGCUGCCAUGGUAUACGUCCCUGUUCUUUGAGAAUGACACAUUCUACUGGAAAUUUUGUUUACCUACCUAAAAGAGGGACCUGAAGAAGUUGCAUUUAUUGCAAAAAAUAAAACCGUUUGUUCGGUUAAAAAUAUAUUUGUAUUAUGAUGAAAAAAGGGAAUAAAGAUAUAAAUGAAAUGUU